rnacentral:rRNA from 1 species
GAUGAACGCUGGCGGCGUGCCUAAUACAUGCAAGUCGAGCGAACGGACGAGAAGCUUGCUUCUCUGAUGUUAGCGGCUGACGGGUUAGUAUCACGUUGAUAACCUACCUAUAAGACUGGGAUUACUUCGGGAAACCGUAGCUAAUACCGGAUAAUAUUUUGAACCGCAUGGUUCAAAAGUGAAAUACGGUCUUGCUGUCUCUUAUCGAUCGAUCCGCGCUGCAUUAUCUAGUUGGUAAGGUAACGGCAUACCAAGGCAACGUUGCAUAGCCGACCUGAGAGAGUGAUCGGCCACACUGGAACAGAGAAACGGUCAAGACACUUACGGGAGGCAGCAGUAGGGAAUCUUACGCAAUGGGCGAAAGCCUGACGGAGCAACGUCGCGUGAGUGAUGAAGGUGUUAGGAUCGGAAAACGAUGUUAGUAGGGAAGAACAUAUGUGUAAGUAACGGAGAACAUCUUGACGGUACCUAAUCAGAAAGCCACGGCUAACUACGUG